GGACGAACGCUGGCGGCGUGCUUAACACAUGCAAGUCGAACGGUAAGGCCCUUUGGGGUACACGAGUGGCGAACGGGUGAGUAACACGUGAGUAACCUGCCCUGGACUCUGGGAUAAGCAUUCGAAAGGGUGUCUAAUACUGGAUAUGACCUGUGACCGCAUGGUUGUGGGUGUAAAGGUUUUCUGGUCUGGGAUGGGCUCGCGGCCUAUCAGCUUGUUGGUGGGGUGAUGGCCUACCAAGGCAUCGACGGGUAGCCGGCCUGAGAGGGCGACCGGCCACACUGGGACUGAGAUACGGCCCAGACUCCUACGGGAGGCAGCAGUGGGGAAUAUUGCGCAAUGGGCGGAAGCCUGACGCAGCAACGCCGCGUGCGGGAUGACGGCCUUCGGGUUGUAAACCGCUUUCAGCAGGGGCGAAGCUUUUGUGACGGUACCUGCAGAAGAAGCACCGGCCAACUACGUGCCAGCAGCCGCGGUGAUACGUAGGGUGCGAGCGUUGUCCGGAAUUAUUGGGCGUAAAGAGCUUGUAGGCGGUUGGUCGCGUCGGAAGUGAAAACUCGGGGCUUAACUUCGAGCUUGCUUCCGAUACGGGCUGACUAGAGGAAGUUAGGGGAGAACGGAAUUCCUGGUGGAGCGGUGGAAUGCGCAGAUAUCAGGAGGAACACCGGUGGCGAAGGCGGUUCUCUGGGACUUUCCUGACGCUGAGAAGCGAAAGCGUGGGGAGCAAACAGGCUUAGAUACCCUGGUAGUCCACGCCGUAAACGGUGGGCACUAGGUGUGGGGGACAUUCCACGUUCUCUGUGCCGUAGCUAACGCAUUAAGUGCCCCGCCUGGGGAGUACGGCCGCAAGGCUAAAACUCAAAGGAAUUGACGGGGACCCGCACAAGCAGCGGAGCAUGUGGUUUAAUUCGAAGCAACGCGAAGAACCUUACCAAGGCUUGACAUCCCCUUGACAGAUGCAGAGAUGUAUCCUCCCCUUCGGGGGCAAGGGAGACAGGUGGUGCAUGGUUGUCGUCAGCUCGUGUCGUGAGAUGUUGGGUUAAGUCCCGCAACGAGCGCAACCCUUAUCCUUAGUUGCCAGCACAUAUGGUGGGCACUCUAAGGAGACUGCCGGUGAUAAACCGGAGGAAGGUGGGGAUGACGUCAAAUCAUCAUGCCCCUUAUGUCUUGGGCUACACACGUGCUACAAUGGUCGGUACAACGGGCAGCUAUGGAGCGAUCCGGAGCAAAUCCCAAUAAACCGAUCCCAGUUCGGAUUGCAGGCUGCAACUCGCCUGCAUGAAGUCGGAGUUGCUAGUAAUCGCGAAUCAGAACGUCGCGGUGAAUGCGUUCCCGGGUCU
rnacentral:rRNA from 1 species